UGUGACAUUUCCCAGGGCACAAUCUGGCCUGUUGAACAGCUGGGUCCCCUAGUUCUCCAACCUGGGGGGCUUUUUACACUGCUUCGCUGUGAGAGCAACCACUCCUGUCAGGUCACACUGUAACC